rnacentral:lncRNA from 1 species
CCUUUAACCAGGCCUCUGGUCUCUGAGCCACAGGUCCCCUCUCUCCAGCUCCAGUCCACGUGGAAGCCUGGCCACUGAUCGGUGCAGUGUCCCCUCCAUUCGUGCCUGGCCUGGUCCUGUAAAUACUGACAGGUUACGAGGGAUCCCCCACCCCAGGAACAGCCUAAAAUCUCAAGAAGAGGAAGAGGAAACCCACAAACAAACAGCUUUUCCAGUUUCAUCUGCCCCCACCUCCCUGAGUCCUGGACUGGUGGGAUCCAGAAGGAAGGGCCCAAACUGCAGCCUCAUAAACUUUCCCGAAAGCCCUCAUAAACACCAGGCCCGGCUGGUGCCACGUCUGGUGCUGCAAAAAGCAAAAUCUCUAGUUGUAAAGUAAUCCUCAUAAAAAAAGGAGAGAAAAGAAGAAAAACCUAUGUGAUAAACACAGUAAUGGCCUCUAGGAAACAAGGUAAAG